GUUGUCGAAACGUCAGUCAACAACAACAAAAACAGUCCUUCUCAGGACUUUAUUAACCUGGGCGAUCAUCUUUAUACCAUUAUUACUGAUUUUUAUCGAUGUCUUCGAUAGCACGUUGCGUUUGCUAAAGUUUCACUGUACUAAAUGGUGUAUUAUGUACUUUCAACAGGUUGUUACUCGAAGUAAACAGUUUAGGAAACAUUCAAGAAAUGAAAGAAUACGACAAUAUUUUUAUGGAGUGAAGAAUAAUUUCUAUCCUCACACGUUUGAAUUGAAAUUUUCCGACGUCAAAAUAUUUAAAAUUGGAGCGCCUGCAGUGCCCGAUUCUUGUUUACCCAUUGGAAUGCAAAAAGAUGAUAUUGAAACAAAGCUAGUUCCAAUGCAGCCAGG